rnacentral:lncRNA from 1 species
CAAAUCAAGAAUUUUGAUAUGCUACAAGCCAGUGUAUGAAUGAAUGAAUAAUUCAGUUUUAUUUUUAAUUUAAUUAAUUUGAAUUGAGCAUAUUUUCUUUUUAUCACAUUUAUUUUCUUUACACUAUUUUUUCUUUAUUGGAAGUGUGGCUGAUUUCAUGCUUUUAUUGUGGGAGACGUUUUGCCAAAGUUCCGGUCUGACGCUUGCUCAGUCCGGUUACUUUGACAGCUUCUCUCCGUCUUUGUAUGGCGUCACUACUACGUUGGUCUAAAUUUACAAGGAAACCCCGCCCCGACCACGCCCACACACGACCGACUGUGUGUGUGUGUUUGUGUGUGUGUUUCCUUCUUCCCUUUGAAAAGUGUUAAGUGUUAAAACCGGAGGAACCAGGAAGUAACAUUUAAACAAAAGAAGCUGGAAGAAAAAAUAUUCCUUUCAUUUCCACCUUCUAUAAUAAAAAAAUAUUCUAAACCACAAUACAUUUAAUAACUAUCCAUUGUAUUAAUAUAUAUUCACAAAGUAAUAACUGUUUAAUUUAUUGGUAAUGUUUCUCUAGUGCACUAAUAUAUAUCAAUAUAUAUUAGUAUACAGAGAGAGAUGUUUAUAACUGUUUACUAAUGCAUCUGUUUUAUUGGAGGGGCAUCUAGUGGUCACGAGUGGAACUGCAGCUGAGCAUAAACUGUCUGAAGAACGUAACGAUCUGAAGAGAAAAAACACCUUCACACAAGCGUCCGUUUGUUUUCCAUUUGAUUUUAGUGCAGUUUUUAUUGAGCUGAGGAUUCUUUUUCACAGUCGAGACUUCGAGGCCGACGUCACAUCAAUAGAAACGUCACCGCAUCCACGUUCGUUCAGAUACACCAUUUGUUUUGUUCCAUAACAUUUCGUUUGUGUGAUUUUUCUAUAGAUUUAUUUCCGGCCGACUACAGGACACGACUGCCGAAGGUCAAGACGCUCGCUGCGAAAGCCGAAGCUGCAGAAGUUCAAUCAAGACAUUCAUAUUUUUUUAUAGAGAAUAACAAUAGGGAAGCAUUUAAAAUUCAACUUGUGGUUUUUACGACAAAUUUCCAAAGGAAUUUGCAAAUAUUAACUUAAAAAAUUCAUGAUACUGUAGCUGUUUUAUAUUUUCAUCAUCAGUAAGUUCACAUCUACAAAUCCCUCUGGACACAUUUUAAUAAAACAAACAGUAAAUUGGAAUCAGCAGCUUUGACGACC